rnacentral:rRNA from 1 species
CAUCGAGUCUGGUGAUAGCUGAUUCCUGCCGAAGUUGGCGGUAGUCAAGUCUCAGGUGAGGCAGCAGGGGAGGUAGAGGUACGGAUUGGGGAUUUAGGCUCUGAAAGGGGUCGGUCUCCUGUCCAACUCCAAAUGCCCCUGCGUCAAAGACCCUGAGAAACAGAGGGCCCGGGGUAAGCUUGGCUCUCGAGAGGGGAACAACCCAGACUGUAGUUAAGGCCCCAAAAUGCUGGUUAAGUGUGAACGGACAAAGAGUGUCUAUGGCCUGAGACAGCGAGGAGGUUGGCUCAGAAGCAGCCAUCCUUUAAAAAGUGCGUAACAGCUUACUCGUCAAGGUUGUAGGUCUCUAAAAUGGACGGGGCUAAACCAGCUGCCGAGACUACAGACGUCUCAAAAGGACAGUGGUAGGCAGGCGUUCCGUCAUGGCGGAAGUAUCAUCGCGAGAUGAAUAUGGACAGGACGGAAAUGAAGAUCCCGGCGGUAGUAGGAUCAAAGCAGUGUGCGAAUCACUGUCACCGAAAGGGCAAGGGUUCCUUAACAACGUAGUUCGGUUAAGGGUUAGUUGGUCCUAACCCUGCUCAUAACAUGACGCAGGGGAAAGGGAAAAGGGUUAAUAUUCCCUUACUUUCAGAAUAUACGCGGCGACGCAAGUCCAUCAGGCGACGCUUCUGGCUAGGUUGAGACAUCUUGCCAGGUGUUUUAAUCAGAGUAAAACAGGGGAGUAUCGUAAUGAUGAGAACCUGUUUAAACCUGAGAAUAGCGGGCUUUUAAGCCCGUUCAGCUGAUGCCUGGAGCCCGUGAAAAGCCGGAUGGGAUAGAUUUCUGAAAACCAUACCAAGAACCAGCACUGGUGCCCCUAGGUGAGAAGCCUAAGGUGUGAAGGUCUAAUCUGACUGAGGGAAAUCGGCAAAUUGGCCCCGUACCUUCGGUAUAAGGGGUCCCUGCACAUGUGUCUUUAAGAUGCGUCUGCAGGGCGCAGUGACUAGGAGGGUCCGACUGUUUAGCAAAAACUUAGCUUUCUGCAAACCCGUAAGGGCUAGUAUAGAAGGCGAUGUCUGCCCAGUGCCAGUACUUCAAACUCCUUUCCAAGGGAGCUAAGAGCUGGUAAACGGCGGGGGUAACUAUAACUCUCUUAAGGUAGCGAAAUACCUUGUCGUUUGAUUGACGACGUGCAUGAAUGACAUAACGAGAUCCUCACUGUCCCCAGUCAGAAUCCUCCGAACACUCCUUCCUGGUGUGGAGGCCAGGGAUCUCCAGUGGGAAGUGAAGACCCCGUGAAACUUUACUGUAGCCUGUAGCUGUGAUGUGAGCUUUUCUGUGCAGAGUAGGUGGGAGUUGCUAAAGCUUAGUCGCUAGAUUAAGUGUAGACACCGAUGAGACACCACCCUGAGAAAUUUACGUCACUAACUGGCUUGCCAGGACAACUAUAGGUGGACAGUUUGGCUGGGGUGGCACUCUGCUGAAAGGAUAUCAGCAGAGCCCAAAGGUUGGCUCAGGUGGGUCAGAAACACUGUCAAGGGCAUACCUUGGCAGGCUGAGCAUCCACCGUAGAGUGCAAGGGCAAAAGCCAGCCUGACUGGAUUUUUGACAAAAUAAAAUCCAGAAAAGAAAUUUUGGCCUAGCGAACCCCUAUGCCUCAUUUAUAGGGGCUAGGGAUGACUGAAAAGUUACUCCGGGGAUAACAGAGUUGUCUCGCCCGAGAGCUCAAACUUUCGUCUGAGACGAAAGUCUCGAACGAAGUGAGUAUAUCGACGGCGAGGCUUGCUACAUCGAUGUCGGCUCUUCCUAUCCUGGCCGUGCAGAAGAUCUCGAAGUUCUGCUUCGAUUUCUGUUGGCGGCCAAGGGUGGGGGUGUUCACCCAUCAAAAGGUGUUCAGAAAUCUUCUGAUUUCUGGAACCUCUGAUAGAGGGAUCGUGAGCUGGGUUCACAACGUUGUGAGACAGUUGGUUUAAUAUCUACUGGAGGUGUCGGGUGUCUGAGGGGAAGGGUCACUUAGUACGAGAGGAACGGUGACUCGAGGCCACUGGUCUAACGGUUAUCCGGCAGGGUAUGCCGUGCAGCUACGCCUUAGAGGAUAAGUGCUGAAAGCAUCUAAGCACGAAACCUCCCUCGAAAAUAGACACCUUAGAACUCCCAUAAAACAUGGGUUUAAUGGAAGCGGUGUGUAAGCGCAAAGGCAACGAUGCGUUCAGCACGCGCUCCCCAACCGUUCAUAGCCCUAA